rnacentral:sRNA from 1 species
UAGUCAUUUUUGCCAUGAUCAAAAAAUGGUUAAACAUAGGGAGCCUUUUCAUAAGCUGCUGGCCCAAGGCCUUAUCAAGGGGCAGACAUUCCGCCUACCAUCUGGACAGUAUCUACAGAGAGAGGAAGUGGAUCUCACAGGUUCCGUUCCUGUUCAUGCGAAAACGAAAGAGAAGUUAGAGGUGACGUGGGAAAAGAUGAGUAAGUCCAAACACAAUGGGGUGGACCCAGAGGAAGUUGUGGAGCAGUAUGGGAUCGACACGAUUCGGCUCUACAUCCUUUUUGCCGCCCCUCCUGAGAAGGAUAUCUUGUGGGAUGUGAAAACUGAUGCUCUCCCUGGGGUGCUGAGAUGGCAACAACGACUGUGGACCUUGACAACUCGGUUUAUUGAGGCCAGGGCUUCUGGGAAGUCUCCCCAGCCUCAGCUGCUGAGUAACAAGGAGAAAGCUGAGGCCAGGAAGCUCUGGGAGUACAAGAACUCCGUCAUCUCUCAGGUGACCACCCAUUUCACAGAGGACUUCUCACUGAAUUCUGCAAUUUCUCAGCUGAUGGGACUCAGUGGUGCCCUCUCGCAAGCCUCUCAGAGUGUCAUUCUCCACAGCCCCGAAUUUGAGGAUGCUCUGUGUGCCCUGAUGGUGAUGGCUGCUCCAAUGGCCCCUCACGUAACCUCAGAGAUCUGGGCAGGCAUCCUGUACAACUGCCAUACGGAGGUUUUGGAAAUCUUCCCGCUGCAGCUGGGUCACAAGACAAGCCACACAGGGCCAGCUCACUAAAAGAAGUGAUGAUCUCUCUUCUGUGACCUCCG